UCCUACGGGGGGCAGCAGUGGGGGAUAUUGCCCAAUGGGGGAAACCCUGAUGCAGCGACGCCGCGUGGGUGAAGAAGCGCCUCGGCGCGUAAAGCCCUGUCAGCAGGGAAGAAAAUGACGGUACCUGAAGAAGAAGCCCCGGCUAACUACGUGCCAGCAGCCGCGGUAAUACGUAGGGGGCAAGCGUUAUCCGGAUUUACUGGGUGUAAAGGGGGCGCAGACGGCGAUGCAAGCCAGGAGUGAAAGCCCGGGGCUCAACCCCGGGACUGCUC
rnacentral:rRNA from 1 species